rnacentral:rRNA from 1 species
GGCGAACGCUGGCGGCGUGCCUAAUACAUGCAAGUCGAACGAAAAUACCAAGCUCGCUCGGUUGAUUCGUGGCGAACGGGUGAGUAACAAGUGAGUAACCUGCCUAUUUCUUUCCUGGAUAAAUGUUCGAAAGGCUAGCUCAAACGCGAUAUUACGACCUGCACCCCUGGGUUGGUUAGGAAAGGUCGUUUUUCCUGUCAGGGAUGGGUUCGCGGCCUAUCAGCUUGCUGGUGGGGUGAUGGCCUGCCAAGGCUUUGACGGGUAGCCGGCCUGGGUGGGUGGACGGUCACACUGGGACUGAGAUACGGCCCAGACUCCUACGGGAGGCAGCAGUGGGGAAUAUUGCACAAUGGGCGCAAGCCUGAUGCAGCGACGCCGCGUGAGGGAUGAAGGCCUUCGGGUUGUAAACCUCUUUCGUCAGGGAACAAGGCACUGCUUUUUUGGUGGUGUUGAGGGUACCUGGAUAAGAAGCGCCGGCUAACUACGUG